UCCUCCCUCUUUCUUCGUGCCUAAUACAUGCAAGUCGAACGCUUCUUUCCUCCCGAGUGCUUGCACUCAAUUGGAAAGAGGAGUGGCGGACGGGUGAGUAACACGUGGGUAACCUACCCAUCAGAGGGGGAUAACACUUGGAAACAGGUGCUAAUACCGCCUAACAGUUUAUGCCGCAUGGCAUAAGAGUGAAAGGCGCUUUCGGGUGUCGCUGAUGGAUGGACCCGCGGUGCAUUAGCUAGUUGGUGAGGUAACGGCUCACCAAGGCCACGAUGCAUAGCCGACCUGAGAGGGUGAUCGGCCACACUGGGACUGAGACACGGCCCAGACUCCUACGGGAGGCAGCAGUAGGGAAUCUUCGGCAAUGGACGAAAGUCUGACCGAGCAACGCCGCGUGAGUGAAGAAGGUUUUCGGAUCGUAAAACUCUGUUGUUAGAGAAGAACAAGGACGUUAGUAACUGAACGUCCCCUGACGGUAUCUAACCAGAAAGCCACGGCUAACUACGUG
rnacentral:rRNA from 1 species